rnacentral:rRNA from 1 species
AUUGAACGCUGGCGGCAGGCUUAACACAUGCAAGUCGAGCGGGGGAGGUUGCUUCGGUAACUGACCUAGCGGCGGACGGGUGAGUAAUACUUAGGAAUCUGCCUAUUAAUGGGGGACAACAUCUCGAAAGGGAUGCUAAUACCGCAUACGCCCUACAGGGGAAAGCAGGGGAUCACUUGUGACCUUGCGUUAAUAGAUGAGCCUAAGUCGGAUUAGCUAGUUGGUGGGGUAAAGGCCUACCAAGGCGACGAUCUGUAGCGGGUCUGAGAGGAUGAUCCGCCACACUGGGACUGAGACACGGCCCAGACUCCUACGGGAGGCAGCAGUGGGGAAUAUUGGACAAUGGGGGGAACCCUGAUCCAGCCAUGCCGCGUGUGUGAAGAAGGCCUUAUGGUUGUAAAGCACUUUAAGCGAGGAGGAGGCUCUUUUGGUUAAUACCCAAGAUGAGUGGACGUUACUCGCAGAAUAAGCACCGGCUAACUCUGUGCCAGCAGCCGCAGUAA